UAGGGAAUUUUCGUCAAUGGGCGCGAGCCUGAACCAGCCAAGUCGCGUGAGGGAGGACGGCCCUACGGGUUGUAAACCUCUUUUGCCGGGGAGCAACGGGCGUCACGUGUGGNGCCACUGAGAGUACCCGGAGAAAAAGCAUCGGCUAACUCCGUGCC
rnacentral:rRNA from 1 species